CACCGCGGUUAUACGAGUGACUCAUAUUAACACACCCCGGCGUAAAGAGUGAUUAAAGGAUGGCCUUUAACAACUAAAGUUUAGACCUCAUAAGGCUGUUAUACGCACCCAUGAAUGGAACAACCAACGACGAAAGUGACUUUAUACAUCAAGGAGCCUUGACCCCACGACAGUUGGGGCC
rnacentral:rRNA from 1 species